GGGUCAGUAGGUUGGUCGUGCCACCGGUACGUACUGGUCUCACUGAUUCCUCCUUCCUGGAGAAACGUAAUGCCAUUAAUUUGGUGUUGCGGGGAAACAGGACUGUUACUUUGAAAAAAUUAGAGUGUUUAAAGCAAGCUAACGCUUGAAUACAUUAGCAUGGAAUAAUGAAAUAGGACGAUCGAUCCUAUUUUGUUGGUUUCUAGGAUUGACGUA
rnacentral:rRNA from 1 species